ACAACAAAAAUGUGAAAGGAAAAUACAAAAUUAAAAUAAGCAACCAAGGAAAAUUGAGGGUCAUCUUCUCCAAGCAUCAACAUCGAAGAGCUCCGGCCAUCAGUCGCCAGAGAGAUCGAAAUCACCUUCCCAAUUUCACAUCUCCUCCAUUUCAGCUUCUACCAGAUCUUCUCCAAGGUAAGUCUCUAACCGUCUACUCAUCUUGAGCUAAAUCAGUUUGUAGAUCUGGAAAACUUGAAGUUUUUUGGCUUCUACCUUUAUCUUCUGGACGCAAACUUGACUCCGAAGAUUGAAUCUAUGGAGAUCGCCUCCCAAUCUUGUACUAUUACCUCUUGGGUUCCAUUCUUAAUUUUUGUGCUGCUGUAAAAUGCUUCAGGUAAGACUGGAUAAGCAUUAUAUAUGAAUUAGAAUUCCUUUUCUCUAGUUUAAUCUUUGAUGGAUUGAAUCCCUUAAAGAGAUUAGUAACACCAUCUAAAUUUUAGACCUUUGAGUUAGACAACUAAAUGAAUUUUGCUUAUAUGAUUUAUGGGACAGCAAAACCUUUUGGAGAAAUUGGAUUAGUGGAGGAAGCAAAUAGGAGCUAUCAACAAUCGAAUGCACCACUGUCAACUUUUGAGUCCUGAUUUUGUACCACUUUGAACAGCUAUAUGCUCUCACCAGGU
rnacentral:lncRNA from 1 species